GUGCAUGUACAGCCAUGCAGUCUAGGACUAGGGACUGUUCCUAUGCGCGUCUAGUGCUACUGGUACUGUGUACUGUCUGUGUACAUGUUCUGGCAUGUACUCAGUUAUAAUGCCGAGUAAUCAUGGUAAUGGCAGCUGACUUUAUUUUUGGAGAAACACUAGUCAACGUAACAAUGAAUGGCGAUAGCAUCUAGGAAGGAUCGCUACCCUGACGUGAAAGAAAGGCCUUGCGCGGCUGCUCUACGAAGUGUUGCAGAAAGACUCAAAGUUAGUUGCUGGACGAACAACUCGCUGGGGCCGGAAAACUUGGCCCCAACGAUGGAGUUUGGUGAAUCAUCAAGCAUAAUAUCUUGUAGCAGUGUUCACCGAGGAAGGAGAACGCUCUAGCCGCUACUGUUGUCCGUUUCAUCCACGUUGGGCGUGAGCUGCACCGCGCCUAUUGUGUUUUAGUAUUCCAUGGACACACAUUAGCAUUCUGAGCGAUUGUGGAGCCACAAUUUACUUCACACGGCGUUGUAUUGUCCACGAGCGCAAACUUUAUUAUCAGCAGUAACUGUUACUCUUCAUCCUACAUGUAGAUUUGGAGUAUACACGGCCUUGUCACGACAGCGACAGCUCUACAGAGUGUUCAAGUGAGAAACAUUAAUUUCAAUUGUUGGUGGACGAACAAAUCACUGGUUCUGAAAAACGCGGCCUGCAUCGAUGGUGUUUGGUGGAUCAUCGAACAGGGUGACCAGCAGUGUUCACCGAGGAAGGAGAACGCACUCGCCACCACUGUCGUCCGAUUCAGCCAAGUGGGCGCUAGCUGCGCCGCGCCUAUUGUGUUCUAGUAUUCCAUGGAUGCACACUAACGUUCUCAGCGAUUGUGGAGCCUUGUCUUCAUGCAGCGUCGUUCUGUCCAAGAGCACAAACGUCAGCAGUGACCCAUCAUCAUACAUGUAGAUUUGGAGUAUACACACCAUGCGCCAAUGGGCCUUGGCACAACAGCGGCAGCUCUACGGGGUGUGCAAGUGAGAAACUUUUGUUCCGACUAUUGGUGGACGAACAAAUCGUCGGUGCCGAAAUACGUGGCCUGCGCCGAUGGUGCUUGGAACAUCAAGCAUGGUAUGUGGUGGCUGCCAAUGUUCAUCAAGGAAGGAGAACACUCAGGCCAUCGCCCGUCAUCCAUUUCGUUAGCUGCACUAAGUCUAUUGUGUUCUUGUACUCCAUGGACACACAAUCAUGAAGCAUGGCGUCUGAGCUGUGUUCACAGAGCGGGGAGAUGCUCUCGCCGCUAUCUUAUCUGUCCUGUGUAUUCCCAAGUGUCGAAGGCUCACAACGAUGGCGUUGGACAAGUGAAAUAAGAUGGAAUCAACAUCGUCACAUGGUGCUGUGACCAGGAUACGGAUCAUGACGAACGCUGAUUCAACUGGACGAAUCGCAACCUGACGACGAAGAAUCGCGAGGCUUUUCAGAUGCUGGGACACAAUGGAAACUGAACGACUUUAGAACAGCACUGAAGCGUUAUAUUAUCAUGCAAGACGCCUUUCUGCGCCGCACAAACACAGGCGAUACUACAGCAGAAGAUGUCACUCAUUAUUCUGCAGGUGCACUGGUGACAGGCGCAUGCAAGUUCACCAGAAGGAAGCGGUCUGAUGGUAACUGGAAUGCCAGCAGUAUGAGAGGGUGUGCAUUCUGCGGUGGAUCUCACCUGGACAAGAGCUGCACGAAAUACACAACAGUAGCACAGCGGAAAGAAUAACUGAUUGAACAGAAGCGUUGCAUUGUGUGUUUGCGCACAGGGCACCGGUCAACUCAGUGCAAGGCCACCCGCAAGUGUAAUGUGUGUUCUCGCAUGGGUCACCAAUCAGAGUCACCAUCAUGUCACGAUCUGCCCUGAAUCUCAACAGAAAUCUGACAGCAGUACCAACAUGGUAUCUGAUCAGCCUGUGUUUGACGAGGUACCAGUAUCUAGCGCAACAGCAGCUAGUGCAGUAUCAACCAGUAUCGCCAUCGACCGAAAGAUAGUCAGUCGUCUUGAUCGGUGCAGAUUUCCUCUGGGAGUUUAUGACGGGGAGCACCAGAGGACUUCCGUCAGGACUACAGGCUCUGCCUACCACAGUCGGUUUUGUGGUGACUGGCCGGACACGUCACCCCAAGCACUCAGCUACGCCGAUGAGCAGCCAUGCCAGCUAUCGUUUCUCUAACUGAUGCGAUUUCCGACUCCUGCACCAUCUCAGAUCUGUGGGACUUGGACUGCGUUGGCAUCCAGGAUUCAGCCAAUCUUCUAACAACGACCUAGCAAUUAGGCAAUUCAUCUCAACUGUCAUUCAACUCGAUCGUUUCCGGUCUCUAUCCAAGCGCCUAGAAGUAGAGUCGGAACUCAAGGUCAAAUGCGACGACGUGAUCCAGCAGCAGCUACGACAAGGCAUCAUUGAACAAGUGAGUCCUUCUACACCUGUGGGUGCCAGAGUGCCCUAUCCGCCUCAUCAACCAGUCGUGAUACCACAGAAGACGAUCACAAAAGUCAGAAUUGUCUAUGACGCCUCAGCCAAAGCCAGACGCACUUAUGUGUCCCUGAACGACUGUUUGCAACGUGGCCCAGCUUUGCUGCCAGAUCUGUUUGGCAUUGUUCUACGAUUUUGCCUGCCACCAAUCGUUAUGACCUGCGAUACUGAGAAGGCCAUUCUACAAAUCAGUGUCAACCCAGCAUACAGAGAUGCGACACGAUUUCUGUGGUUCGCCAACUCCGACAGUACAUCAGCCUGGCAACGUAUCGCUUCUGCCGGGUACCGUUCACGCUCAUAAGCAGUCCAUUUCGGCUUGGCGCGUCUAUACAGCAUCAUUUGGCACAGCAAGAUGACAAACAGCUAGCAGUGGCUAUUGGUGAGAACAUUUUCUGCUGUGCCAUUGGAGUGUGCACUAUACACAUACCCUGCUCUUUUGUUGGCACCGCCUGUGUAACUUACUGCAUAUAAUAGGGUGCAAGGUGACCGUUGUCGGUUUACAUGUACUCCAGUUAUUACACCGUGCAUGCACUGAGUCUGUGCUGUACUGUGCCGCAUCCAUAGGUGUUCGUUUGCGGUAGCGCAAGGUGACACGCAAGGUUGAUGUAUUGUGUUGUCCGCUGCUAUUCGAAGCUCUCGGAGUCGGAAGCGUUACCUCUGUUUCCCCUGUUCCUCCCUGAGCGGAGUCUGUAGUUCUGGCUUUCAGUCGCUGUUACAUGCAUGUUGGCAGUUGCAUGUGUUUUGGUUAUCAGUUGUCUUUAUUUGUUUUGUGUGGACGACGCCAGUUCAAUAUUCUAGCAGUUGUUACGCUGCCCAUGUUCCGUAGUUAUCUGCUGUUGGUGUUCGAGAGAGCAAACUGUGUUCUUCUCCAGAGUGGAGUAAGCCA